rnacentral:rRNA from 1 species
UCAUAUGCUUGUCUCAAAGAUAAGCCAUGCAUGUCUAAGUAUAAGCAAUCUAUACGGUGAAACUGCGAAUGGCUCAUAAAUCAGUUAUCGUUUAUUGAUAGUACCUUACUACAUGGAUACCUGUGGUAAUUCUAGAGCUAAUACAUGCUAAAAACCUCGACUUCGGAAGGGGUGUAUUUAUUAGAUAAAAAACCAAUGCCCUUCGGGGCUCCUUGGUGAAUCAUAAUAACUUAACGAAUCGCAUGGCCUUGCGCCGGCGAUGGUUCAUUCAAAUUUCUGCCCUAUCAACUUUCGAUGGUAGGAUAGUGGCCUACCAUGGUGGCAACGGGUAACGGGGAAUUAGGGUUCGAUUCCGGAGAGGGAGCCUGAGAAACGGCUACCACAUCCAAGGAAGGCAGCAGGCGCGCAAAUUACCCAAUCCCGAUACGGGGAGGUAGUGACAAUAAAUACUGAUACGGGGCUCUUUUGGGUCUCGUAAUUGGAAUGAGUACAAUUUAAAUACCUUAACGAGGAACAAUUGGAGGGCAAGUCUGGUGCCAGCAGCCGCGGUAAUUCCAGCUCCAAUAGCGUAUAUUAAAGUUGUUGCAGUUAAAAAGCUCGUAGUUGAACCUUGGGUCUGGCUGGCCGGUCCGCCUCACCGCGAGUACUGGUCCGGCUGGACCUUUCCUUCUGGGGAACCUCAUGGCCUUCACUGGCUGUGGGGGGAACCAGGACUUUUACUGUGAAAAAAUUAGAGUGUUCAAAGCAGGCCUUUGCUCGAAUACAUUAGCAUGGAAUAAUAGAAUAGGACGUGCGGUUCUAUUUUGUUGGUUUCUAGGACCGCCGUAAUGAUUAAUAGGGAUAGUCGGGGGCGUCAGUAUUCAGCUGUCAGAGGUGAAAUUCUUGGAUUUGCUGAAGACUAACUACUGCGAAAGCAUUCGCCAAGGAUGUUUUCAUUAAUCAGGGAACGAAAGUUAGGGGAUCGAAGACGAUCAGAUACCGUCGUAGUCUUAACCAUAAACUAUGCCGACUAGGGAUCGGGC